AGAGUUUGAUCCUGGCUCAGGACGAACGCUGGCGGCGUGCCUAAUACAUGCAAGUCGAGCGGACUUAAAAAGCUUGCUUUUUAAGUUAGCGGCGGACGGGUGAGUAACACGUGGGCAACCUGCCUGUAAGACUGGGAUAACUUCGGGAAACCGGAGCUAAUACCGGAUAAUCCUUUUCUACUCAUGUAGAAAAGCUGAAAGACGGUUUACGCUGUCACUUACAGAUGGGCCCGCGGUGCAUUAGCUAGUUGGUGAGGUAACGGCUCACCAAGGCAACGAUGCAUAGCCGACCUGAGAGGGUGAUCGGCCACACUGGGACUGAGACACGGCCCAGACUCCUACGGGAGGCAGCAGUAGGGAAUCUUCCGCAAUGGACGAAAGUCUGACGGAGCAACGCCGCGUGAGUGAUGAAGGCUUUCGGGUCGUAAAACUCUGUUGUUAGGGAAGAACAAGUACGAGAGUAACUGCUCGUACCUUGACGGUACCUAACCAGAAAGCCACGGCUAACUACGUGCCAGCAGCCGCGGUAAUACGUAGGUGGCAAGCGUUAUCCGGAAUUAUUGGGCGUAAAGCGCGCGCAGGCGGUUUCUUAAGUCUGAUGUGAAAGCCCACGGCUCAACCGUGGAGGGUCAUUGGAAACUGGGGAACUUGAGUGCAGAAGAGAAAAGCGGAAUUCCACGUGUAGCGGUGAAAUGCGUAGAGAUGUGGAGGAACACCAGUGGCGAAGGCGGCUUUUUGGUCUGUAACUGACGCUGAGGCGCGAAAGCGUGGGGAGCAAACAGGAUUAGAUACCCUGGUAGUCCACGCCGUAAACGAUGAGUGCUAAGUGUUAGAGGGUUUCCGCCCUUUAGUGCUGCAGCUAACGCAUUAAGCACUCCGCCUGGGAGUACGGUCGCAAGACUGAAACUCAAAGGAAUUGACGGGGGCCCGCACCAGCGGUGGAGCAUGUGGUUUAUUUCGAAGCAACGCGAGAACCUUACAGGUCUGACAUCCUCUGACACUCUAGAGAUAGAGCGUUCCCAUUCG
rnacentral:rRNA from 1 species